rnacentral:rRNA from 1 species
UAAUACUGGAUAGGCAAUUAUUCCUGUAAUGGUUGUUUGUUUAAAUGUUUUUCGCCUAAGGAUGGUCUUGCGGCCGAUUAGGUAUUUGGUUAGGUAAUGGCUUACCAAGCCUUUGAUCGGUACGGUUUUUGAGAGCAAGAGCCCGGAGAUGGAACCUGAGACAAGGUUCCAGGCCGUACGGGGUGCAGCAGGCGCGAAACCUCCGCAAUGUGAGAAAUCGCGACGGGGGGAUCCCAAGUGCCAUUCUUAACGGGAUGGCUUUUCUUUAGUGUAAAAAGCUUUUGGAAUAAGAGCUGGGCAAGACCGGUGCCAGCCGCCGCGGUAACACCGGCAGCUCUAGUGGUAGCAAUUUUUAUUGGGCCUAAAGCGUCCGUAGCCGGUUUAAUAAGUCUCGUGGUGAAAUCCUGUAGCUUAACUGUGGGAAUUGCUGGAGAUACUAUUAGACUUGAGACCGGGAGAGGUUAGAGGUACUCCCAGGGUAGAGGUGAAAUUCUGUAAUCCUGGGAGGACCGCCUGUUGCGAAGGCGUCUAACUGGAACGGUUCUGACGGUGAGGGACGAAAGUUAGGGGCGCGAACCGGAUUAGAUACCCGGGUAGUCCUAACUGUAAACGAUGCGGACUUGGUGUUG